CAGUCGCCACGGUAAUGCGAAGGGUGCAAGCGUUAAUCGGAAUUACUGGGCGUAAAGCGUGCGUAGGCGGUGAGUUAAGUCUGCUGUGAAAUCCCCGGGCUCAACCUGGGAAUGGCAGUGGAUACUGGCUCGCUAGAGUGUGUCAGAGGAUGGUGGAAUUCCCGGUGUAGCGGUGAAAUGCGUAGAGAUCGGGAGGAACAUCAGUGGCGAAGGCGGCCAUCUGUGACAACACUGACGCUGAGGCACGAAAGCGUGGGGAGCAAACAGGAUUAGAUACCCGCGUAGUCCCUGUCUCUUAUAC
rnacentral:rRNA from 1 species